AGGACGAACGCUGGCGGCGUGCCUAACACAUGCAAGUCGAACGGGGAUUUGUUUCGGCAGAAUCCUAGUGGCGAACGGGUGAGUAACGCGUAGGCAACCUGCCCUCCGGCCGGGGACAACACUCCGAAAGGGGUGCUAAUACCGGAUACGAAGUCUGUGCCGCAUGGUACGGAUUUGAAAGAUGGCCUCUGUUUACAAGCUAUCGCCGGGGGAUGGGCCUGCGUCCGAUUAGCUGGUUGGUGGGGUAACGGCCUACCAAGGCGACGAUCGGUAGCCGGUCUGAGAGGAUGAACGGCCACAUUGGGACUGAGACACGGCCCAGACUCCUACGGGAGGCAGCAGUGGGGAAUCUUCCGCAAUGGGCGCAAGCCUGACGGAGCAACGCCGCCGUGAGUGAGGAAGUUCUUCGGAACGUAAAGCUCUGUUGUUCCUGACGAACCUCCCCUCUAUCAACAACGGAGGGGACUGACGGUAGGGAACGAGGAAGCCACGGCUAACUACGUGCCAGCCGCCGC
rnacentral:rRNA from 1 species